rnacentral:lncRNA from 1 species
AAAUAUCGGUAUUUGUAGAAAUAUAGAUAUAUAAAUUUGUAGAAAUAUCGAUGGAUAUAUCGGUAUCAGUAUUGAUUGCCUUUGAUGGAAAUGGUGGAAAUUUGCUCAAAAACAUGAAAAUUUAAAGUUAUUGUCUAGGGAAUGUCAUAUUAGGUCACAACAUACAUAUGAAUCAUGAAUUAAUGAUCAGAUACUGUGUAAAAAAUAGGGAACUUUAACGAAAAGCACCCGGUACUGUUCACUUUAACGAAAAACCACAUUUUUACACUAAAAACUCAAUCAUGGUACUAUUCACUUUACCCUUUAUUUUGUCCUUAUCAUUAAAACUCAAAGUUUUCAAGCCCUUUUUAUUAGUUUUCCUUAAAAAAUAAGUAUGUGAUAUGUGAGAAAGAAAACUUCUUUCUAGUUUUCUUUCUAAUGAUAAGUAAUAAAAUAAAAUAAAGCAUUUCACUAAAACGAAUAAAUUAUACAUAAUAAUUGAAAUUUUCAUCAUAAAUAAAGAAAUUAAGCCAUAAAGAAUGCAUAGGCCUCGGGGAGUUAAAAAUGAUAGUAAAUCUUUCAUUUUGAUUCGGCCUUCUACAUAUGCUUUUCAAUUGCACCAAGGUCUACACCGACUUCUCUACAGCCAUGAUCUUCAUCUUAGGUGGUAUAAGUAAAGACACACUCACCAGUAAACGGGCUUAAGCAUGUAACUCCAUCAAAUUCUUGUUCAUCUCCUCCAUCAUAAUUCCUUAAAUUUUUGGAUAUUUCCGUAGAAAUAUUGAGCAUAUCCAGGAUAUUUUAAACAUUGGGUUUAGACGGAAUAUAAGAGUUUCUCUGAUAUUUAACAGAUGUUUUAGAAUAUCGAUGAUAUCUGUCGAUUUAAGCCUAAACUUAAGAGUUUUAUAUGAGGUGAAGUUGAGACUUCAUUCUCCAUUUCUAUAUUUUUCUCUAAUUUAUUUAUUUAUUUAUAUAUUUCCAUAAAAAUACUUUAACCAUUAGUUAUCCAUAAUAAAGAGGCCAUCCGCUUACAUUUAUUUUAGGGAGUUUUAAUGAAAAACCCGCGGUACUGUUCACUUUAACGAAAAACUAUAUUUUUACACUAAAAAGUCAAACAUGGUACUAUUCACUUUACUCUUUAUUUUGUCAUUAUCGUUAAAACUCAAAGUUUUCAAGCAAUUUUCAUUAGUUUUCAUUUUAUUUGACUCGUUUGAGUGUUAAUUAUAGAGUAUUGUUAAAUCCACCCCAUUGUCCUAUUUUUCCACCCACCUUAUUAUCCCACCACCAUAAAAAUUUUAAAAAUUUAAAUCUUAUUUUCCCGCCCACUAUUAUUCCUAAAAUAACCUUUAUACCACCACAUCUCCAAUGUUCUGUUUCCACCACCAGUCCCUUCCCCUGAACUAACUUUACACCAAAAUCAAGAUUGCAAAUCUCUAACAGUACAAACUGAACAAACCCAGAAAUUUAUCUGGUGCAAAUUUACAACCUUGAAAGCCACAGUCAUUGGUUUUGUUGGAGACUUACAGAGAGCAAGAGAUCUGCUUCCUCAAUUCAACUUAUUUCGUUCAAAUCGAAAGAAUUAAAUCCAAAAAGUGAAAGUGAAAGUAAAAAAAUUCUAAAGAUGAGAUUUGAUUCAAAUGAGCUAGAAGCUAUCAAAUUGAAGAUGCAAUUCAAAAAUGCAUUAAAACGUUAAAACGUUAAAAAUUUAUUGGAAGACACUACAAAUUGAUUAACAUAUUUGGAAUUGGAGCCCUGGAAAUCAUAGAAACGAACAAUGAGAAAUGCUGGCUGUCGGCAGAUUCUUGAACUUCUUCCGCCGCCGGAAAAACUAGAUCUUUCUCUCGGAUGGAGAGAGAUUAAAUGGAAGAGAGAAGAACGGGGAAGAGAGACAGUGGUGGAGAGAAAUGGGUAGGGAUUUAAAAGUCUUUUUCUAAAAGGAUAAACAUGACAUUAACAUUUUCAUUAAAACGUGGGUGAAAAAAUAAGAUAAUGGAGUGGGCUUAGUAGCACUCUAACUAUAUCAUCCAUUAAAAAAGUUAUCAAUAUAGAAAGUCGUGCAAAGUAAGAUAGCAGAAUAUCUAAUCACUGCAUGGUCAAUGUGAUAAGUUUUACACGAAAUGGUUCGAGAUGACAUAAACAAGUUUAGUAAGUCAAUUGGUCAUUUACACUGAGCUUGAAAAUUCCAUGGCUUGCUAACACGAAUAAUCAAUGAAUCAUGCACUAUCAAAUACAAAUGAUUGAUUUCGACAAUACAAAAUUAUUUGAUGAUUUCGACACUAAAAUGAAUUUUUUGGUUUUGUUUAGGCAAAUGAUAAAUUUGUUAAAUUAGAUGUUACAUUAGGGAGACGAUCGACGGGGUUCGAAACCCACGCUGUGAUGCAAGGGUAACACUUCUCUCCAUCAUAAUGGUAUAGGGCGACUUGCAACACUAAAAUGACAAUCGCAAAAAACGAAAAAUUAACACUUAUAGUCUUCAAUUUAUGGUUUACUCGUCAAACUAGCUUGCAUGCGACUAAUUAAUAAUCUCAAUCGGAUGGGGAAAGCUGGCACAAAUAUGGCAGUUCUAGGAAAGUGAUAUGAUCAAUGGAUGUUUUAUUUACAAAUUCUAAUCCAUUGUAGUAGUAUGUACUCAACAUACAAUGCGCAACCUAGCUAGCUAAUAAGUGAAGCUUUGUCAGAAUUGCACAUGAUCGACGUGGUCAUUAGCUAAGCACCUAAAUGGUGGAAUGCUUCAAAAUAUAUGGUUAGGUCGCACAAACCCAUUUCAUGAGAUCACAUGCAUGAUAUAUAGUCUCACGUAGGGCACAUCCACAUUCACAUUUAUGAUCGUAGAAGUGCGUACACUAACGUUUUCUUGUCAAACUUGCUUUUAAAGUAGAAAACUCCUUAUACUAAGGCCAUCUCUUUUUACUUGAACGUGUUCUACACUCACAUUUUCGUAAUAUAAGCAGGAACUCCAUUCUCCUAGACCAUAGGGUUUAAGGAAAUUGUGGUCACAUACCAUUCGAUCUCUUAGCCUUAAGGUCCAAGGAAAUUGGAACCAUGUACCAUUUGAUCUUAAUCCAAUGGUGAAGGAAAAAGUAAAACAACAAAAACUAAAGGAACAUUUAUUCUCCUCCACCGUUUGAUUAAGAUUGAAAUGUAAGUGCUUGUAAUUUCCUUGAAUCCUAGGGUCUAAGAGAACAGAACUGAUGCCUAUAUUACCAAACUGUGAAUCUAGAAGGCAUUCAAGUAAGAAUCAACCCAAUGAACUAUCCAUCAUAUUCAUGGUCGGACAACACAUGCAUGAUCUCAUACAUUUUCGGUUGCAAUAUGCAUCUCAUACGUAUUAUUAUAAGAUAGUCAGGUAAGAGAAAAUUGUCCAAAACUUGUAAAACCUCCUUCAAUUCAAUGCAAUUUAGGAUAGGGAAUGUGAACUCUUACUGCUGCACAAGAGCACAAUACAAAGCACGCCAGGUUUCAUAUGCAUCCCGAUAUAUGAUGAACUGCCAUAGUCUGCCAAAAUGCGCAAAAAUUGAGGUCUGCAUUCAGGUGACCUAAAUAUAUUGUAUAAGGGGCUUGACUUUUUUCCUUCAUAUAUGGUACAGAUAUACAGAGAAAGGCGCGCAUUUUUUGAUCGUUUCAUUGAUUGAACACCUUUAAAACUGAGAGGGUCAAACCUGUGUGUGAAGAAUCCCACAAUAUUGUUUUUACUAUUAGCUCUGGGGGGAACUCUGCAGAAUAUCUAUAUGAGAAGACAAAUAAGACUGCUCAAUGAGCGAAAAAAGAAUCGCACAAGAAAAAGAAAUAAAGAGAGGUUGGGGUAUUAAAUUGUGGGUGGGUUGCUCAACCAACCCUAAACCAGAAGAACCCCAUUUUCCUCAUUUAACUUCAAGACCUUUUUAUUUUUAUUUUUUAUUUGAGUGGGGCUAUAGCGUUAGUAAGUUAGAUGUUAGAUUAAUCACCGACGAGGUUUAAAUUCACGCCGUCAUGCAAAGAGACAAUUCAAGACUCAUUAUAUAACUUAAUUAUAAGAAAGAAAACACGACGAGGUUUAAAUUCAUGCCAUCGUGGGGUGGCCUAGUUGUUCGGAAGAAUUUCAGGCUUCUAUUCCACACGACAAGUCCUGAGUUCGACUCCUGUCGCCAGUGAAUUGCACGAUGGUGGCCAGGGGAGGCUGAAAUGCCUCUGUGAGUUUUAUUGACCCUCAGAAGGGUGGAUUGCAUGGCGAAGCCAUCAGCUGGUCCUUUUUUUUUUUGAACAAAUGAUAUAAUUUGCACCAAGGAGGAGGGGGCGAGCUUCGUCUAACAAUUGGACUAGCAAUAAUGUGGUUCAAAUUCGCCUUUGAUGAGAAUCAAACCUAAAACCUCUCACUUAUAAGUGAAGAAGAAUACCAUUAGACCAUAGUACUAAGUUAGAAGAAUUUUAAGUUGCAAUCUGACGUAUAUAAAUAAGUAUAUGUCACGUGAGAAUAGAAAUACUUAUAUAGGGAUAUGUUCUUGGUUUUGGUUGUGCACGAGAAUUCUCUAAGCUAGGGUGACUCAUUUUCAACCUACUAAAUAUUGGAAAAGGAUCCUCGUUUGGUCCUUUUCUUGGGGAUCCUAGGGAUUCCGUGAUCGUGACCGUUCAUAAUACAUUGUGCGAUCAGAAAUCAUUUCAAAAUUUAAAAUUUAAAAUUAAAUAUAAAUAGUACCUAAUGAAAACUGACCGCACGAUGUACGAUGAACAAUCAAGAUCAUGGGAUCCCAUCCCUAGGUGAGGAUCCUUUUCCCUAAAUAUUGACCCAAUUAAAAUUUAAAACACCAUGUGUAUAUGUGAGUGUAGUCAAAUUGCAAAUCAGUGUGCUCUUUUUUUCGCAUCUGAGUUCGAAUUCUCUUUUUGUUUAACAAUUUUUCUUCAAUGAGACGUAGCAUUGAGUAGUACAAAAAAUGAAUGGCUGACAUUAAAAAUAAAAAAAAUCUAACAAUUGAGAACAUUAAAUUUAACGAUUAAAACACCUAUAAUUUUGAGUGUUAUGUAAUAAUAAAAGUACACCCUUUAAAUUAGAUUGGAUUAAAAUAAAGCUCCAAUGAAAGAACAUAACUUAUAAGAAAAAAGGGCCAAGCUAGGGUGACCCGUUUUCGACCCACUAUUGAUCCGAUUAGACUUUACAAUAGCUGUGUCUUGUGUGGGAUGGAUGACCUAUUUAUCAUUGUUUGGUUUUGUUUUUUUUUUUUUUU